rnacentral:rRNA from 1 species
GACGAACGCUGGCGGCGUGCUUAACACAUGCAAGUCGAACGGAGUGGCGAACGGGUGAGUAUUACGUGAGUAACCUGCCCUCAACUGUGGGAUAAGCCUGGGAAACUGGGUCUAAUACUGCAUAGUAGGGGAUGGGCUCGCGGCCUAUCAGCUUGUUGGGGGGGUGGUGGCCUACCAAGGCGGUGACGGGUAGCCGGCCUGAGGGGUGGAUCGGCCAGAUUGGGACAGAGAUACGGCCCAGACUCCUACAGGAGGAAGUAUUGGGAGAUAUUUCACAAUGGGCGCAAGCCUGAUGCGGCGACGUCGCGUGAGGGAUGAGGGCUUGCGGGUUGUAAACCUCUUUCGGUACAGAACGGGUAUGUGCAGAAGAAGCGCCGGCUAACUACGUGCCAGCAGCCGCGGUAAUAC